AACUUUACUAUACAGACAUCAACUACAGUAGUUUGAUCAAAUAUGACAGAACUAUAAGGAACCAUUUCCUCAAAUAAGUCUUUUUCCUCAGCUUCCCCC